rnacentral:lncRNA from 7 species
CGUCUAGCCGAAGAAGAAAUGGUGCGCGGGCUGCCACGGAUUGAUCACGCUGAUCAUGUCUGUGAUAGCUGUCUCGCCGGGAAGCAGCGUCGACUUUCCUUCCCAGGUGUAACACCCAAAUUCUGAAUUUGGAAUAGAAAAUAGAAAGUAAAAGAGAAGGGAAGAACUAAGAAAAAUCCUACAUAAAAUAAAAUAAAAUCAGAAUAAACAUCCUUCACACUUAUAAUAUUAAAUUAUACUAUUCAAACUGAGGACCAGUUAUUCACAAAAGUUUGAAUUUAAACUUGAACUCAAAUUGGAUUUGAAAAUGUAGAAAAGAAAAUAGGAAAUAAAAAGAAAAAGGGACACUAUGCCUUCAUGGGCCGACUGAACUCAAUUCUGGCCAGUUAAGAAAUACCAGACGCGAGCCCAUUAACCUUCCCCACGGCGCCGACAGGUGGGGCCCCCUGCCCAGCCUCUCACGCGCACGCCUGGUCACUGUCUCGCGGACCCCACUCGUCGGCCUCCCACGACCGCGCUCACUCCUCCCUGCUUCUUUCGCUGAUCCGCGGGGCCCGCUUGUCGGGUUCGUCUUCAACAAACCUCGCCGAUCGCGCGCGCGUGAAUCUCGGCAGCGGCUCCGUUAGCCGGUACAGCGAUUCCGUGCUCUCCCGGGUAUAAAAGCAUCGUGCCGCGGCCUCCUCCUUCCCUCCUCAUCCGCUUGCACCGAUUGCCGUGCGCCGUUGCUACGCUUGCGGAAGGUUUUCGGCCGCCACCCUUGAAUCGCUUGGCCACCGUCGUCUACGGGUCAUUGUGAAGUCUUGGCAGCUCAUCUGGGUGCGGCGAACAUAACCGGGGCCUCCACGUGCGGAAUUGGUGACCGGUGCACGACGAAUUCCUCACCGGAGUCUCGACUUCGGGUAUUUCCGCCCUCCGCCGUGGCCUGCCUCCGCCAGUGGUCUAUCUACCCGGUAACUCACCUCACCGUGUUCGCCUCGGUUCAAUUGUUGUUCUAUGUCAGUUAAUCGAACGGAGGGGCCCUGGUCGGGCCGAAUUUCACCACGCCGUCCUUAGCGCCGCCGUGGGGGGGGAUUUGGUGGAUUCUCGCCGCCGUGGGUAGCCGUCAGGGGUGCGGAUGCGCCGUGGCCGUUGAUCUGAUGAUGGGCGGCCAAGAUUAGAUGGUAGCUACCUCUUCAGCUAGGAAGAACUCGGACCGUUGAUCUCGCGAUAUACGGUAGAAAUCCGAUCGCGGGUUCAUUAAAACGUGACCGUCGGAUUCAGAUCCUGGGACUAUGGCUGCAUACCGGUUCGGUUUUAGGCGAUCUAAUCUAGGCCAUAGACUUUAGAUCGUGCGGCUCACAUUAGAUCUUACCUCUUCGCGGGUGCUAUUUGCUAAAGAGCCCUCGGGCUUUGGUCAAAUCAACCCGCCGUCCUGUGCGGGUGUAGCCUGAGUCUUAGGUUUAUUUGCGCCAAGCCCCCUGCGGUUUUCUGAAAAUGAGGACCAGUCCAGAGAGUUAUAAAAUCAUAGAAAAUGAUUUAGAAAAUGAUUUUUAGUGUUAAAAUAAAUCCAGAAACUUAAUUAAUUCAUAACUAAUUCAUUUUAGCUCCAAAUUGAGUCAUUCCAAUUCCAAAAAUUUUGUAAUAAUAUUCUCUACCAUUUAGAAUCACUGUUUUGACAUGAACUCUGCCAGAAAAUUUAUUUAUCAUUUAAUCAUAUUAUAAUCACCUAAAAUCUUAGGUAAUUCAUAAGUUGAAUUCUACAACUCCAAAAUUAAUAAUUCUUUUUCCUGUGAUCUUAUUUUUAUGUGUAGAUUAUUAUUAUGUAUUUUGUUUACUUGUUGGUGUGAUGUUAAAUUCUGCCUACACUGUUUGUUUGUAUUACUACGACUAGCAGUGAGGUCACGUAUCAUCUGAAGAUCAUCCUGGUACCUGGAUUCUCAAGGCCCAGGCAAGUUGUGCCCUUGAUCACUUCUUUUCACCUACUCAUGUUCUAAUUAAUCAUAAUGAUCUGCAUAGGUUAAUUUUGAUGGGACCCAAUAGGUUACCUAGUUUGAUUAUCUUUAUACCUUGUUCACCACUGAACUUUCUGGGUAGUACUUGCUAGUGCUAUAUGUGGUUUUGGGUAUGAAGAUUACACUAUUCAUGAUUAUACUUUUGUUAUCAGUUGUUAUUUAUGGUUCAUGUUAAGAUCAUUAUGUUAAUUGGAACAUGGAGAACCACCCGGGAAAACAGUGCUACCACAAGGGUUUAAUGGGACGCCCUUGGCUGAUUAAUUAGGAAAGCUAGUGGAAGACUACCUUACCCGAAAGGGGCAAGGGCAGUAGGGGAGAGGUCAGUGCGGGAAGUGCCCUCGGGAGGAUUUUGCUGCGAUGGCGGUCCUGCAAGGGAUUCCUGUACUGGAUCUUCCUAUAAACUGUAGCGGGUUUUCGGAAGCUAGUGGAACUUUGUAAAGGCCUCGUAGUGGAUCCCUAGCCAUUCACCUCGGAAGUGUCUUAGGGCCUUGCAAACCCUGGCGACAUGGGAUACACGACUUGUGGGUAAAGAUGCGCAACCUCUGCAGAGUGUAAAACUGGUAUACUAGCCGUGCUCACGGUCAUGAGCGGCUCGGACACUCACAUGAUUAAUUUAUGGAACUAAACUCAAUUUGUCAUAUGCAUUGCAUUGCAGGUGAUGUGGUUACUUUUGUUCUACUAUUUAAUUGGGUUGGUAUUUACUUAUACUUAGUAACUGCUAAUAAAAUUUUGACCAACUUUAAAAGCAAUGCUCAGCUCUAACCAUCUUCUUUGGUAAGCCUUACACUUCACGUGAGCUCCCACCUUUGGCGGGUUCAUACACAUUAUUCCCCACAACUUGUUGAGCGAUGAACGUAUGUGAGCUCACUCUUGCUGUCUCACAUACACCACAGGUCAAGACCAGGUACUGCAGGAUGAUGCUCAUGGAGGAUGCUGUGAUGAGUUCGUGAGAGGUCUAGGUCGUCGUCUCCCAGUCAACUUUGGGUUGCUGGACCGUUGUCUCCUUAUAAUGUAAUUAUUUAUUUUGUAUAGAACUCCUGUUAUAUAUAAAGUUGUGACAUUCGAUCCUGUGCCACUAUACAUCAUAUGUAUGAGACUUGGUCCCAGCAUACCUGGUGUUUAUGUUAGCGCCCGGGUUUUGGACCCCUAAAAUCCGGGUGUUACAGAAGUGGUAUCAGAGGAAUGUUGACUGUAGGACGAAACCUAGAUAGAACCGGACAACCAUUAUUUACUUACCUCUGCUACUCUGAUUCUUUUCUAAACUCUUCUUAAUCAUUUCUCAUCUAAUUCCGCUUUACUCUGAUUAUUCUUACCUUUUUCCUUCUAAAGACAAAUGUGGAUUUCACACCUUGAAAUCCUGUACCUAAAGUGACUUUAGGAAUAGGAGACCUACUCUUAGGAACAAAAACAAAACUAUUUUUGUAAAUAUUUAUAUGCUUGAAUGUUUGUUCUUAUGAUACUUGUCUGAUUUGGAUCUUUGAAUGAGUGUGAUGGGUUGUGGAGUAAUGCCCACAAUUACAUCUGCAUAUACGUAUGGACAUAAUUAGAAUUCAUAAGAAAACUAAGCAAUUUAGAUUAUCCUCCAUUAAAAUGUAUCUAUCUCAUAGAGAUCCCUCUAAUCUUAAAAGACUCUCCCAUAUCUUAAUAGAUUCAUCUCAUCUUAAGAAAUCUUAUCUUAAUAGAUUCAUCUUAUCUUGAGGGAUUCAUCUUAUCCUAACCACUUUACUUAUCUCAUCCUAAUAGAUCUAACUGGUCUCAAAAGAUUCUAUCUUAUCUUUAUGGAUCCAUCUUGUCCUAAUAAGCAUACUUAUCCACCCUAGUUUAACAACCAUGAUCUAAUGCAAAUUAAUUAGAUCUUAUCUAGUCAAACAAGUCACACCAAUCUAACCUAGAUCUGAUCAAAUCUAAAGUGACUUAUCACACAUGUUAGAUAAUACUGAUGAAAUAGUUUAGACUCUACCCCUAUAGAACAGUUCUUAACUUAGUUCACCCUACACUAAAUAAAGAAUGAGAAACCAACCCAACCAAUAGAGUCUUGAUGGAUUGCAUGACCUGCCUAUCCCCACCUAACAUCAAACAAACUUUUGACCUACAUCAUGUAGUCUAUCUCAUCCAUACCUAUACUAACCAUAUUCCCCAGUCCAAUAAUAUACACUAACUCCUAAUCAAUGAGACAAGACAGAAGAAGAUGAUCAACUUCAUCAAGUAAGGAUGAGCACCAACUCAAGUCUUCAAGGAUCAAAUGAGGCCACCAAGAUGAAUCAAGAUCCACAAAAUCUUGGAGGAAGUCUUUUCUUAUCCUACUCUUUCUUACCCAAACCUAUAUAUACCCUAAAGACAUCUUCUAUCUUACAUAAUAAAGUGGACAUACAUAUAAUACCCAUGCUCUCCUAAUCACUUACUAAUGAAAAAAAAGAGAGACUCUUGAUUUUGAACUAAUUAAGAAACUGAAAGCUAAAUUGCAAACCACUCUUCCUAUAUCCCUUUUCUUACAAAUCUCGGGGACGAGAUUAUUUUUAAGGGGGGUAGGAUUUGUAACACCCAAAUUCUGAAUUUGGAAUAGAAAAUAGAAAGUAAAAGAGAAGGGAAGAACUAAGAAAAAUCCUACAUAAAAUAAAAUAAAAUCAGAAUAAACAUCCUUCACACUUAUAAUAUUAAAUUAUACUAUUCAAACUGAGGACCAGUUAUUCACAAAAGUUUGAAUUUAAACUUGAACUCAAAUUGGAUUUGAAAAUG